UACAGAGGUCUCAAGCGUUGUUCGGAUUCAUUGGGCGUAAAGGGUGCGUAGGCGGCGCGGUAAGUCGGGUGUGAAAUCUCGGAGCUUAACUCCGAAACUGCAUUCGAUACUGCCGUGCUUGAGGACUGGAGAGGAGACUGGAAUUUACGGUGUAAGCGGUGAAAUGCGUAGAUAAUCGUAAGGAAGACCAGUGGCGGAAGGCGGGUCUCUGGACAGUUCCUGACGCUGAGGCACGAAGGUCAGGGGAGCAAACGGG
rnacentral:rRNA from 1 species